GACAGAGGGUGCAAACGUUGUUCGGAAUUACUGGGCGUAAAGCGUGUGUAGGCGGUCUCAACAGUCGGGUGUGAAAGCCCUGGGCUCAACCCAGGAAGUGCACUCGAUACUGCGAGGCUAGAGUAUCGGAGAGGUUGGUGGAAUUCUCGGUGUAGAGGUGAAAUUCGUAGAUAUCGAGAGGAACACCGGUGGCGAAGGCGGCCAACUGGACGAAUACUGACGCUGAGGAGCGAAAGCCAGGGGAGCAAACGGG
rnacentral:rRNA from 1 species